CUAAAGUUUUAUUCUAGCUUGAAAUUUAGGUAUAAUUUUAUUUUACAUGUAAGUUCUAGCAUUUGGGUUUAAGAUUUUAAUAGUUUUAAGCAUUAAUUUAUUUGCAGUGAGGAGAUUUAAAUAUCAACGUUAGUUGGAUUUAGGAAUAAUUAUUUAAUAUUGACAAAGUUUGUGCCAGCAGUUGCGGUUACACAGACAAUAUUACUUAAAUUUUUCGGUUACAGUUAGUUAAUUUAUUUAUUCUUUAAAUAGUGACUUAUUAGGUGAAAUUUUAAGUUGUUGUGAGGUUCUUUUUUUUAUAAACGAGGCUGAGAAAUUCUUUAUUAAACUAGGAUUAGAUACCCUAUUAUUAGGAAUGUGAAUUGUUUUGCCGGGUUAGUACUAGCUAGGCUCUUGAAAAUUAAAGAUUUUGGCGGUACCCUAGUCCAUUCAGAGGAACCUGUCCUGUAAUUGAUGAUCCACGAUUUUAUUUACUUUCUUUAUUAGUUUAUAUAUCGUCGUAGUUUGAAUAUGCUAUAAGGCUGAAAUGUUCAAAAUUCUUUUUAGGGGAAAAAUCAGAUCAAGGUGUAGCUUAUAGGAGAGUAGAGAUGGGUUACAAUAAAUUUAUUUAAAUAGGAUUUAUAUAUUUGGAUAUAUAAUUAAUUUGGAUUUGAGGGUAAUUUUAAUUAAAUAAUUAGAAUGAUUCAGGCUCUAGGGUAUGCACAUAUCGCCCGUCGCUUUCGCUCUAAGGUGAAAUAAGUCGUAACAUAGUAGGCCUACCGGAAGGUGGGCCUGGGUAGAC
rnacentral:ncRNA from 1 species